rnacentral:sRNA from 1 species
CUGAAAUCGUAGCCGAUGUUCCACAGCAGGGGGC